rnacentral:rRNA from 1 species
ACAUGCAAGUCGAGGGCAUCAGUUGUUUGCUUGCAACCAAGCUGGCGACCGGCGCACGGGUGAGUAACACGUAUCAACCUGCCUCAUACUCGGGGAUAGCCUUUCGAAAGAAAGAUUAAUAUCCGAUAGCAUAUAUUUCCGCAUGGGUUUUAUAUUAAAGAAAUUCGGUAUGAGAUGGGGAUGCGUUCCAUUAGUUUGUUGGGGGGGUAACGGCCCACCAAGACUACGAUGGAUAGGGUUCUGAGAGGAAGGUCCCCACAUUGGAACUGAGACACGGUCCAAACUCCUACGGGAGGCAGCAGUGAGGAAUAUUGGUCAAUGGACGCGAGUCUGAACCAGCCAAGUAGCGUGAAGGAUGACUGCCCUAUGGGUUGUAAACUUCUUUUAUAUGGGAAUAAAGUUGUCCACGUGUGGAUUUUUGUAUGUACCAUAUGAAUAAGGAUCGGCUAACUCCGUG